GUAGGUGGCAAGCGUUGUCCGGAUUUAUUGGGCGUAAAGCGAGCGCAGGCGGUUUCUUAAGUCUGAUGUGAAAGCCUUCGGCUCAACCGAAGAAGUGCAUCGGAAACUGGGAAACUUGAGUGCAGAAGAGGACAGUGGAACUCCAUGUGUAGCGGUGAAAUGCGUAGAUAUAUGGAAGAACACCAGUGGCGAAGGCGGCUGUCUGGUCUGUAACUGACGCUGAGGCUCGAAAGCAUGGGUAGCAAACAGGAUUAGAUACCCUGGUAGUCCAUGCCGUAAACGAUGAGUGCUAGGUGUUGGAGGGUUUCCGCCCUUUAGUGCCGCAGCUAACGCAUUAAGCACUCCGCCUGGGGAGUACGACCGCNAGGUUGAAACUCAAAGGNAUUGACGG
rnacentral:rRNA from 1 species